UACGUAGGGUGCAAGCGUUAAUCGGAAUUACUGGGCGUAAAGCGUGCGCAGGCGGUUUUGUAAGUCUGUCGUGAAAUCCCCGGGCUCAACCUGGGAAUUGCGAUGGAGACUGCAAGGCUAGAAUCUGGCAGAGGGGGGUAGAAUUCCACGUGUAGCAGUGAAAUGCGUAGAGAUGUGGAGGAACACCGAUGGCGAAGGCAGCCCCCUGGGUUAACACUGACGCUCAGGCACGAAAGGCGUGGGGAGCAAACGAGG
rnacentral:rRNA from 1 species